GCGGCUGCGCGGCUGUGUGCGUGGCGGCCUGGUUAAAUAGCGGCGCGGCGCUCGCCGGCCAGCAUUGGGUUUCCGUCGCUCGCGCCGGGAACACGGUCUCUCCGUUCAAACAUGUCAUAGCUUCUUACGUACUUCUCCUUCUUCUUCUCAUAACGAUACGUAUCAUGUAUUUUCUAAUGUAGGUAAAAUUUGGUGCUCAAUAUUACAAAAUUUAAAAGUAUUUUUUAUAUACGGACUUUAUGGCGACUUGUUAGUAGAUUGUAGGAUAUAUUAUAUAUUUUGGUACGGAAAGUGUGAUAGCAGCGGCAAGAUGAACUUCAUCGGGGCAGUUGGUGGGGACGGCGAUGACAGUGACGAUAAGGAAAAGGAAGAAGAAGCAGAACGCGAACGGCAAGAAGCGAUCCGCGAGGCGGAGGAGCGACGCAAGGAGAAGCACCGCAAGAUGGAAGAAGAGCGAGAGAAGAUGCGACAGGAGAUAAGGGACAAG